AAAGGUAUUUGGUUAUAUUUUGCCUGAAAGGCGCAUGAGAGCCUGAAUUGUCACGUAUCUUUCAGGGAAAACCACACCAACUAUUUAAAGGAAGGUCCAACACCUGACAAACCUGUCUUCAUAGCGGAUGACGGUGCCGAUGGUGAGCAAACGGCGAAUUUCCUAUAUACCAACUACAAGAAUUGUGUCGUAGUGGACAUCCCGUUCAAGAAAAGACGAAGCUGUGGUCUGUGGGUCUCCCCAGAUGCGGUGCACAGUUUCCCGCACGAAUGCACAGACCAGUUCGAGGACAGCUGUGACAUGACGGUCUCGGUGUUCGACGACGAAACGUGCGAGGGUGUGUUUAACAAC